GCGGUGGAGCGUGUGGUUAAUCGAAGCAACGCGAAGAACCUUACCAGGUCUUGACAUCCCUGACAACCAAGAGAUUGGGCGUUCCCCUCGGGGGACAGGGUGACAGGUGGUGCAUGGUUGUCGUCAGCUCGUGUCGUGAGAUGUUGGGUUAAGUCCCGCAACGAGCGCAACCCUCGCCUCUAGUUGCCAGCAUUCGGUUGGGCACUCUAGAGGGACUGCCGGCGACAAGUCGGAGGAAGGUGGGAUGACGUCAAAUCAUCAUGCCCCUUAUGACCUGGGCUACACACGUGCUACAAUGGGCGGUACAAAGGGCUGCGACACAGCGAUGUGAUGCGAAUCCCGAAAAGCCUGUCUCAGUCCGGAUCGGAGUCUGCAACUCGACUCCGUGAAGUUGGAAUCGCUAGUAAUCGUGGAUCAGCAUGCCACGGUCGAAUACGUUCCCGGGCCUU
rnacentral:rRNA from 1 species